CUUGGGGUUUGUUAGUAGUAAGGUCAAAAGUAGACAAUUGAUUCUCAUCUGUUUCACCUGGAUAUUGUCACUACAUGCAAGGAGCUCCUAUGAAUAGUUGCUCCUUGAGUUAAAGGAAGGCAAGUGUGUUUCCCAGAAGGCAAAUCCACAGACUGGAGGAAAGACAGAGCUCAGCUCACACACACACCCUGGAUGUGCAAAUGGCAGCGCUGGAGAAAAAGGCAAAGAUCGGUGCUCUUGGAAACAGAAGCACGCUUCUGUGAGUUUCAUGGAAAUCAGAUACGAAUUGAAAUGCAGAGAACUGAAACAAUAAAGCUUGUUUGUUUCUUCA